CGUGUAGGCGGUCGGUCAAGUCCGAUGUGAAAGCCCGGGGCUUACCUCCGGAAGUGCAUCGGAAACUAGCCGGCUGGAGCGCGAUAGAGGAGGGUAGAAUUCCUGGUGUAGCGGUGAAAUGCGUAGAUAUCAGGAGGAAUACCGGCGGCGAAGGCGGCCCUCUGGAUCGUUGCUGACGCUGAGACGCGAAAGCGUGGGGAGCAAACAGGAUUAGAUACCCUGGUAGUCCACGCUGUAAACGAUGGGUACUAGGUGUUCGGGGUAUUGACCCCCUGAGUGCCGCAGCUAACGCAUUAAGUACCCCGCCUGGGGACUACGGCCGCAAGGUUAA
rnacentral:rRNA from 1 species